CUCCAGUACGACCUUAAAUUAGUUCCACGUGUCUGGGCCACUGAUGUAACUGAUGGAG
rnacentral:snoRNA from 1 species